rnacentral:tRNA from 1 species
GCGCCUGUAGCGCAACGGAUAGCGCACUAGCCUCCGAAGCUAGUGGUGCAGGUUCAAUUCCUGCCAGGCGCA